UAGAAAGAGUGCUAUGAACGUGUUAUAUUAAAGGGAUGUGGGUAACUUAUUACUGUUUUUGUUGUGUUUCUUUCGGUUUUUUUUCUUCUUUUUUUUCCGUUUCACUUUUUCG
rnacentral:ribozyme from 12 species